UACAGAGGUCCCGAGCGUUGUUCGGAAUCAUUGGGCGUAAAGGGUGCGUAGGCGGCGGGGCAAGUCUGAUGUGAAAUCCCGGGGCUCAACCCCGGAACUGCAUUGGAUACUGCCUUGCUUGAGUACUGGAGAGGAGACUGGAAUUUACGGUGUAGCAGUGAAAUGCGUAGAUAUCGUAAGGAAGGCCAGUGGUGAAGGCGAGUCUCUGGACAGGUACUGACGCUGAGGCACGAAGGCCAGGGGAGCAAACGGG
rnacentral:rRNA from 1 species